UACGAAGGGGACUAGCGUUGUUCGGAAUCACUGGGCGUAAAGCGCACGUAGGCGGAUUCGUAAGUUAGGGGUGAAAUCCCGGGGCUCAACCUCGGAACUGCCUUUGAUACCGCGGGUCUCGAGUCCGAUAGAGGUGGGUGGAAUUCCUAGUGUAGAGGUGAAAUUCGUAGAUAUUAGGAAGAACACCGGUGGCGAAGGCGGCCCACUGGAUCGGCACUGACGCUGAGGUGCGAAAGCGUGGGGAGCAAACAGG
rnacentral:rRNA from 1 species